GUUCGGUUGGGGUAAACUUCGCGAAAGCGAAGGACGCUAAAGUCAUGGGUCUAAGGCAUAAAUUCGGAAGUUUUAAAAGCGCUUUUGAAUUACAGGCUAAGAUCGCCAGGCUACAAGC
rnacentral:ncRNA from 2 species